rnacentral:rRNA from 1 species
UAAGCGGAGGAAAAGAAACUAACAAGGAUUCCCCUAGUAACUGCGAGUGAAGCGGGAAAAGCUCAAAUUUAAAAUCUGGCGGCCUUUGGCCGUCCGAGUUGUAAUUUAGAGAAGCGUCUUCCGCGCCGGACCGUGCACAAGUCUCCUGGAAUGGAGCGUCAUAGAGGGUGAGAAUCCCGUCUUUGGCACGGAUGCCCGGUGCUUCUGUGAUGCGCUCUCGAAGAGUCGAGUUGUUUGGGAAUGCAGCUCAAAAUGGGUGGUGAACUCCAUCUAAAGCUAAAUAUUGGCGAGAGACCGAUAGCGAACAAGUACCGUGAGGGAAAGAUGAAAAGCACUUUGGAAAGAGAGUGAAACAGUACGUGAAAUUGUUGAAAGGGAAACGCUUGAAGUCAGUCGCGUCGACCGAGACUCAGCCUUGCCUUGGCUUGGUGUACUUCUCGGCCCGACGGGUCAGCGUCAAUUUUGCUCCUCGGACAAUGGCAAGGGAAAGGUGGCACCUUCACGGGUGUGUUAUAGUCUCCUGUCGCAUGCGAGGGGUGGGAUUGAGGAACUCAGCGCGCACCUCAGGUGUCGGGGCUUCUGCCCACGUCACGCGCUUAGGAUGCUGGCGUAAUGGCUUUAAACGANC